UGUAUUGAUUGAGGGAGCAGGUUUCUUCCAUAUAUUCAUAGAGGCUGGUUUAGCCUGAGCUGGGACUCAGAGACUGUGUCUCUCUUUCUCUGGUUAUGAUUUAUGACUUCAAUCCAAUUUAUAGCCAUUUACAAGAAUGCUGAACUGGCUGUAAAUCAGUAAAAGACCAUAAAAUACUCAUGGAGCUGCUGAAAUCCAUCUGGCAGGCUCAGGCUCAUGGACAACGAUAACGAGAAACUGCUGAGGCCGACUGGGGAGCGAGCAAGCCUGAGGGAUGUCUCCCUUAUCCCUCUGGCCAGCACAGGUUUAAAUCAGUGCUGGUCAGCUGGCUGCUUGGACGGGCUAAAUCUGGGCUGGAAGAAGCCCUGAUGAGACUGAGGGAAGAUAGCUGACAGUAAGCCUUUGAAAAGCUGGGAUGACCCUACACCUCUGUGCUGGGUGGGCAAUCCUUUGCCCAUCUCGUGUAGAAUGCAGACCCCGGGUUGGUGCCUGCUGUUCUGCUCAUCACUCAGCUGUUGGGAAUGCUGGAUGCCUGGGAAAGGAGAAGAAACUUAGGUGCUUCCAUAAAGCUGUAUGUUUACAGAUGGGGACCUGUGACCAUUUCUCCAAGCCAUUUCUCAAGCCAAAAAGGGGCAAUAUAAACAGGAGAAAAAUGACAACGGGCUGCUUCACUUCUAAUGACAUCAAAUGGUUUGAAUCUGACAUUGAUGGGGAACUUGGAGAAACCACCAUCAAUUUCUCAAUUCUUCUUUUCCUACUACCCUCCAUCUGGAGGAAGCUAUCACCCAGGCAUGGCACAGCAAAUUCUUCACCUCCGUCUGUAGUCCUGCAAUAUUUUCUGACAUUCACAAGAAAAAUAUAAGGUCAAUUAACAUUCCUGCUAUAUUGAAGAACUAGCAAAAAAGUUCAAGUUUUUUGAGGUUUCAUUCUCUACAUGACCUCCAGCAAACUUACCCUGUUGGAGAGAUUCAGUGUUUUUCAAGGGCAGCUGAAGCACUGCCUACAUGAAAGAAGUUGGCAUCAAUGCAAUUACAUCAAUACAGAGCACGUUGUCUUACUGUAGAAAGGGCCUUGUGUCCUUUCAGGAAUGAAUCCUGAAUAUAGAUCUUUCUGAAGGAAAACAAUGAAUAA